CAUCUGUCAGCACCUGCUUCUGAGAGCAGGGGCGGCGUAGGCAGCACAGCCAGGGCACAACAAGGAUCACUGGCGAACCAGAUCACUGCUAUGCUUCCUGGGUUCCUAUCUGAAGACAGCCUUUGUCCGCCAACACCGGGCCUGUUUCGAGGAGCGAGGGGGGCUGUAAGGCAAGCUCUCAGUCAGCAGGAGUCGGAGGGGUGGGGUAACAAAUGAUGAAUCAUCCAGGAGGUGAAAUGACAGACAGAGCGCUGCGGAAGUGUGGCUGUGUUCAUUUGGUGCGUGAGGAUAUCUGUAUGUGGCUGGAAGAACAAGUGCUGAAAUCAACAGCACUCCCUUUCAAAUUACUGUGUGCAGUUGUCAGAAAAUGAAGAAUCAUUCUGCACUGAGCAAAGUCCAACAUGUUCACACUUGGGGGGGAGCACGGAAGACACACAGCAAAGGGCCGGGUCGGAAUCGAACCCCCGGCCACUGCAGGAGGACUAAAACCUCUGUAUGCCUCUAAACCCUCUACUCAAUAAAAAGAUUUUGUUAUAAUGAA